rnacentral:lncRNA from 1 species
UGAGAACACCUACUGCUCAUCGUCACCGUGACAGCUACUGAAAUCAAGGCGACUGUGUUUUCCUGUGGGAGACAGCGCAGUGGAGACAACAUGUCUGUGUCCGAGAUUCAUUUGCUGCACCACCAGCCGCUCCGUAGCAGUGACAGCAA